rnacentral:rRNA from 1 species
CAGUAGCCGCGGUAAUACGAAGGGUGCAAGCGUUACUCGGAAUUACUGGGCGUAAAGCGUGCGUAGGUGGUUGUUUAAGUCUGCUGUGAAAGCCCUGGGCUCAACCUGGGAAUUGCAGUGGAUACUGGGCAACUAGAGUAAGGUAGAGGAUAGUGGAAUUCCCGGUGUAGCAGUGAAAUGCGUAGAGAUCGGAAGGAACAUCUGUGGCGAAGGCGACUAUCUGGGCCAUUACUGACACUGAGGCACGAAAGCGUGGGGAGCAAACAGGAUUAGAUACCCCUGUAGUCCCUGUCUCUUAUAC